GUAUCUAUAGUAUAACUUAAUACCUUAGCUUUUCACGCUAAUACUGUAAUUCCUAUUACUAGAUACC
rnacentral:tRNA from 1 species